rnacentral:rRNA from 1 species
AUUGAACGCUGGCGGCAGGCCUAACACAUGCAAGUCGAACGGUAACAGGAAGCAGCUUGCUGCUUCGCUGACGAGUGGCGGACGGGUGAGUAAUGUCUGGGAAGCUGCCUGAUGGAGGGGGAUAACUGCUGGAAACGGUAGCUAAUACCGCAUAAUGUCGCAAGACCAAAGAGGGGGACCUUCGGGCCUCUUGCCAUCGGAUGUGCCCAGAUGGGAUUAGCUUGUUUGUGGGGUAACGGCUCACCAAGGCGACGAUCCCUAGCUGGUCUGAGAGGAUGACCAGCCACACUGGGACUGAGACACGGUCCAGACUCCUACGGGAGGCAGCAGUGGGGAAUAUUGCACAAUGGGCGCAAGCCUGAUGCAGCCAUGCCGCGUGUAUGAAGAAGGCCUUCGGGUUGUAAAGUACUUUCAGCGGGGAGGAAGGGAGUAAAGUUAAUACCUUUGCUCAUUGACGUUACCCGCAGAAGAAGCACCGGCUAACUCCGUG